GCAAACUUGGUCAUUUAGAGGAAGUAAAAGUCGUAACAAGGUUUCCGUAGGUGAACCUGCGGAAGGAUCAUUAACUAGCGGGUGAUGCACCAUUAGGUAGCCGUGCUAUCCUCAGGUUAGUUGCGUGAAUCGCGCCAGAGCCAGCCUUGUAAGCUCCCUUAUGAAAGAAAAUAAGGGAGGCACUAAAUGACUAGUUCUGGCACAUGUGUGUUCUGGAUUAUAUCCCUAGUGCUAUCAACGGCUAAGGUCAUGCUGACUCCCUGAGGGUAGGCGCUCUACUGUGUGGUUAUGACAGCUCCUCGCUCUCUAUCUUUGUUUAUUUGUGCCUUUAUUGUUUCUUUCGGUGACAAUGCGUGCCGGACGAAAUUCAUACUAUUGCCAUAGCAUAUUCUUUCUGAUAGAAAAGUCUAAAUCCUUACAACUUUCAACAAUGGAUCUCUUGGUUCUGGCAUCGAUGAAGAACGCAGC
rnacentral:misc_RNA from 1 species